rnacentral:misc_RNA from 1 species
GAUGAAGAACGUAGUGAAACGCGAUAAGUAAUGUGAAUUGCAGAAUUCAGUGAAUCAUCGAAUCUUUGAACGCACAUUGCGCCCCCUGGUAUUCCGGGGGGCAUGCCUGUCCGAGCGUCAUUACAACCCUCAAGCUCAGCUUGGUGUUGGGCCCCGCCGCCCCGGCGGGCCCUAAAGUCAGUGGCGGUGCCGUCCGGCUCCGAGCGUAGUAAUUCUUCUCGCUCUGGAGGUCCGGUCGUGUGCUCGCCAGCAACCCCCAAUUUUUUUCAGGUUGACCUCGGAUCAGGUAGGGAUACCCGCUGAACUUAAGCAUAUCAAUAAGCGGAGGA